rnacentral:rRNA from 1 species
GACGAACGCUGGCGGCGUGCUUAACACAUGCAAGUCGAACGGAAAGGCCCCUUUGGGGGUACUCGAGUGGCGAACGGGUGUGUAACACGUGAGUAACCUGCCCUUGACUUCGGGAUAACCUCAGGAAACUGGGGCUAAUACCGGAUAGGAAGCCUAGCUGCAUGGUGGGGGUUGGAAAGCUUCGGCGGGUUUGGAUGGACUCGCGGCUUAUCAGCGUGUUGGUGGGGGAGUGGCUUACCAAGGCGUUGACGGGUAGCCGGCCUGAGAGGGCGACCGGCCACAUUGGGACUGGGACACGGCCCAGACUCCUACGGGAGGCAGCAGUGGGGAAGAUUGCACAAUGGGCGGAAGCCUGAUGCAGCAACGCCGCGGGCGGGAUGACGGACUUGGGGUUGUAAACCGCUUUCAGCAGGGGCGAAGCUUGUGGUGACGGUACCUGCAGAAGAAGCACCGGCUAACUACGUG